GUCCCUGUAGCUUAAAUACCAAAGCAUGGCACUGAAGAUGCCAAGACGGUUGCCACAUGCACCCAGAGACA
rnacentral:tRNA from 1 species